rnacentral:rRNA from 1 species
GUGGGGAAUCUUCCACAAUGGACGAAAGUCUGAUGGAGCAACGCCGCGUGAGUGAAGAAGGGUUUCGGCUCGUAAAGCUCUGUUGUCGGGGACGAAUGUGCAGUAUUUGAAUAAAGUACUGCAAUGACGGUACCUGACGAGGAAGCCACGGCUAACUACGUGCCAGCAGCCGCGGUAAUACGUAGGUAGCAAGCGUUGUCCGGAAUUAUUGGGCGUAAAGGGAGCGCAGGCGGGAAGGUAAGUCGGUCUUAAAAGUGCGGGGCUCAACCCCGUGAUGGGAUCGAAACUAUCUUUCUUGAGUGCAGGAGAGGAAAGUGGAAUUCCUAGUGUAGCGGUGAAAUGCGUAGAUAUUAGGAGGAACACCAGUGGCGAAGGCGACUUUCUGGACUGUAACUGACGCUGAGGCUCGAAAGCCAGGGGAGCGAACGGGAUUAGAAACCCUAGUAGUCC